UUCGAUUCGAGCGAAAGCGAGAAAGCGUUGCCAACGGCAACGACCCGAAGGGCGAAGCGCGCAGCGCUGAGUCAACCUUCCCCCACCACCA
rnacentral:sRNA from 1 species